ensembl:lncRNA
AUGACUUGGUUUAUGCAGUUAAAAGUUCUCUUUCAACUGAUAGAAAUUCUUUUUCAGGUUCCACCCAUUACAGGUUCUGUAUCAGCUGACAGAAAUUGUGUUUCAGGUCGUAGGGGGUCUGUUUCAGCUUUAAUAUGUUCUUAUUCUAUUUUUAACUAUUGUUUCAGUAGUUCUGUUUCAGUUGACAGGGAUUCAGAUUCAACUUGUAGGUUCUGUGUCAGCUGUAAGAUGUUUCAGCUCUUAGAGGUCCUGUUUCAGCUGUUAGAGGUCCUGUUUCAGCUGUUAGAGGUUCUGUUUCAGCUGUAAGAUGUUUCAGCUCUUAGAGGUCCUGUUUCAGCUGUUAGAGGUCCUGUUUCAGCUGUUGGUGGACCUAUUUAGGUUGAUACAGGUUAUGAUUCAGCGAAUAGAGGUUCUGUUUCAGCAGUCACGUGUUCUGCUUUAGCUGUUAGUGGUCCUGUUUCAGCUGUUAGUGGACCUAUUUAGGUUGAUACAGGUUCUGUUUCAGCUGAUACAGGUUCUGUUUCAGCGGAUAGAGGUUCUGUUUUAGCUACUAGAGAUUAUAUUCCAGCUGAGGUCAUAUUUCAGAAAUUAGUGGUUCUGUUUCAGCUGCUGGUCCUGUUUCAGUUGUCAUAGUUUAUAUUUUCUGUGUUAUGGGUUCUGUUUCAGCUGGUAAAUCUGAGAUCUUUUAGUUGGCUGAAUGAAGUAUAAGUGUUUCCAACUUUGAGUCCUUAAACAGUGGUUCUGAAUAUCUGGAUAGAAGUAAAACUCUGAUGUAAAAGCUUGAAAAACCAGAACCAUCAGAACUCGGGUCCAGUUUCAUGUUUUCAGACAGUGAAGCAGCUGUUUCUAUUAAAUAAAUCAGCUGAUGGUUUCCUCAUUAAGACGACCAAACAGAUCCGGAAUAUAAUUAUAUUUACUAAGAACUCAAAUCUGAAUCUUUACUUUUGAGCUAAUUAUUGAUCAUCAUUUCUGAUUCCUAAUCAACGCCUGUUAAUGAUUGAUGAGCACAUUCAGGCUGCAGCUGUUCCCACUGAUGUGAUUAUUGGUGAUGAAACCUGAUUUUUGUUACUAUUCUCAGAACUUUUCCAGAGAUGAUACAUAAUUCUGAUACAAAGCUGAAUUAGAAACUGAUCUGGAUUCGGAUCCAGAUUCAUCAGAACCGAUAAAAAGACCUGAUCUAUUAUGGAUUGGGCUAAUGGCUGAUGAUCCGUUAUUAUUGAUCAAUUCCUGUUCGAUAGCAUGAUUGAUCAUUUUGGAGAAUCGGUUAGACCAGUUUCCCAAUACGGUUCAGCCCAGUGGGCCAGGAUCCGUCCAUCAGAUCGGAACCAGAACUAAGACCGUAUCGGUUGGUGUCGGUUCCGUUAGGGGGGGGGGCUGGUCCGGGCCACAUGGAGUGACGGACAGAGGCAGACUCACAGAAAACCCAAACCUGUCUCGGGCCGGUGGUUCGGUUCGGAUCCCGGCCGGUGUGCGGGUUUUCACGGAGCCGUUACCCCCUUUGUUCUUUAAUGGAUCGUCUGGAGCCGCGCUACCUCCCAGACCCUCUCCUCCCCCACCGUUCUCCCCUUCGGUACACAGAAAAAUAGGGUUCUACCCAAACCCACUCCCACGGGUCGGAACCAACACUUUGAGUGUGGGGGCAUCAACCCCCCCUGCGCCCCGCUCCUCCCGCACCCCCACUCACCGAGGAGCCAGAAAAACGGAUCGAGUCCAUGCUCGAGCGUCACGCAGCGUGGUGAUGCGGCGGGGAAACAAGGCGUUUUCCCCCAAAACACACAUAGCCC